ACAGGGAGCUGGUUCCAGGAAAGAAGGGCACAUGAGCAAACAUGAUGGCCCCUUUAUGAGAGGUAAUUUACUGAAAUGCACAGCGAUUACCUGCUCACCCAGCCCUGAUGUAAUUAAAAAUGGCAGGCUAGGGGCUCUGUUUCCCCCGGCUCUGGCAGAGAAACCUGGGUUUCGACUUGUGAAGCUUGAGGUUGGAUGUGGGAAUUGGCUUGGAGUCAUAGGCGAUGAGAGGGACAUUAGGAUAUUAUGAAGCCCGUGAACUCAACUCCUGAGAAGGACGCAGCAGAGCGAGAGAAAAGGAUGGAAUAAAAAGGCCUACCUCAUUGGGCUCGUGUGGGUGAGGAGAACUGAAGAGUCUGAGAGCGCGGCACGAGCCAGAGGCUACGGAAAACACUGCCCUCCUACACUCCACCUUGGAGAGACCCAGAAAAGAACAAGCUUCAUUUGUAAAAAAGGAAAACAACUCAGGCAAUGGGGGUGGCUUAAAGGGCACUCUACAGUGUGCAGAUGCCUUCCACUUCUUCCAUCUGCCCUGUCUCUCCAAGAACCCCUAUGGCCCCGGUCUCAGAACAGAGCUGAGUGCAGAAAUGAAAAUCUAUGGCUCUGUGUUCCAAAACGAUGAAGAAUUUCAAGAUGGUGGCAGUGGUAAAAUCUUUCUCCAGGAAAAAUCUGUCCUUGGCCCAAUGUGUAAACACUUGCUGAGGUAUUGUGAAACCAGCAACUUGUUCACAAUUCUUCUGAAUUUCUUGGGAAAUUUGAAGUGGAGUACCUGUACCAACAUGAAAUGACACGAAUUUAAGUGACGCUCAACAACGAAAAGCAAAAAGAACCAAAGAGGAAGCAACUGAAACAACAUCUGGAUGUAUUUAAAAAUAUACAAUGCCUCCAAAAUCAGGUGUCAUUAAUGAAAAUUCUGAAGAAAUGCCACCGGACAUAGCCAACGCACCUACGCUGUUGUUAUUCAUUUCCUGCUUUUCACAGAAAACAAUUUUGUUGCAUGGAAGAUCGGUGAACUUCAAAGGGCAGAGGGGAAACUGUCCCUUGGCCUCUACCCCUCCAAGGCCCCACUUUUUUGUCAACACUCCUUGGACGCAGCAGAAGUAUGAACAUAAUAUGGUCCUGAAUGAGGCUGAGUCUUUGGGCGCAGAAGACCCGGGUUAAUAAAAAUAGGAAGGUAAGAAAAGAAAAGAAAAAUCAAGACACAUCAUAGGACUAAAUUCCUAUUAUUUAUCCACUCAGGAUUGACCACCCCUUUGGGCCAGAUAGUUGUACCCCCAUGUACCAGGUGGGCACAUGAAGACACAAGAAGUGCUGUGAUGGUUCAUUUUGCACGUCACCUUGCGUGGAGUAUGCCAACUCAUUGUUUGGUCAAACACUAGUCUGGACAUGGUGGUAAAGGUAUUUUUUAGAUGAGAUUAACACUUAAAUCAGUAAAGCAGGUUACCCACCAUACUACGGGUGGGCCCUGUCCAAUCAGUUGAAGGCAUUAAGAACAAAGAUUGAGGUUUCCUAAAGAAGAUGGAAUUCUCCUUGAGACUACAACAUAGAAACCCUAUCUGAGUUUCCAGCCUGUUGCCCUGUGGAAUUCAAACUCAGGACUCCGGUCUAUGACAUUAACCCUCACUUAACUUUUCAGCCUGCCAGCCUGCCCUAUGGAUUUCGGACUUGCCAGCCACACAAUUCCUUAAAAUAAAUCUCUCCGUCUCUGUC
rnacentral:lncRNA from 1 species